ACGGAAGGCAGCAGUGGGGAAUAUUGGUCAAUGGGCGGAAGCCUGAACCAGCCAUGCCGCGUGCAGGAAUAAGGUCCUAUGGAUUGUAAACUGCUUUUGAGUGGGAGCAAUAAGGCGUACGUGUACGCCGAUGAGAGUACCAUUCGAAUAAGCAUCGGCUAACUCCGUGCCAGCAGCCGCGGUAAUACGGAGGAUGCAAGCGUUAUCCGGAUUUAUUGGGUUUAAAGGGUGCGUAGGCUGUUUGUCAAGUCAGGGGUGAAAUGCCGGUGCUUAACAUCGGAACUGCCUUUGAUACUGACAGGCUUGAAUACUGUUGCCGUGGGAGGAAUGAGUAGUGUAGCGGUGAAAUGCAUAGAUAUUACUCAGAACACCGAUUGCGAAGGCAUCUCACGAAGCAGUAAUUGACGCUGAGGCACGAAAGCGUGGGGAUCAAACAGGAUUAGAUACCCUGGUA
rnacentral:rRNA from 1 species